rnacentral:rRNA from 1 species
AAUAGAUACCCGGGUAGUCCACGCCGUAAACGAUGGAUACUAGCUGUUGGAGGUAUCGACCCCUUCAGUAGCGAAGCUAACGCGUUAAGUAUCCCGCCUGUGGAGUACGGUCGCAAGACUAAAACAUAAAGGAAUUGACGGGGACCCGCACAAGCGGUGGAUCAUGUUCUUUAAUUCGAUGCUAAACGAAGAACCUUACCAGGGCUUGACAUCCCGAGAAUUUUGCCGAAAGGCGAGAGUGCUUUAUUGAACUCGGUGACAGAUGUUGCAUGGCCGUCGUCAGCUCGUGUCGUGAGAUGUUUGGUUAAGUCCAUCAACGAGCGCAACCCUUGUGAUUAGUUGGAUUUUUCUAAUCAGACUGCCCCGGCAACGGGGAGGAAGGAGGGGAUGACGUCAGGUCAGUAUUACUCUUACGUCCUGGGCUAGAAACGUGAUACAAUGGCGAGUACAAUGCGCAGCGAAGCCGCGAGGUGAAGCAAAUCGCACCAAAGCUCGUCCCAGUUCGGAUAAGAGGCUGAAACUCGCUCUUGAAGUCGG